AGACACAUGACACAUCU
rnacentral:miRNA from 1 species